GCGCCCGGCGCCGCCACCGCCACCUUCCCGCCGCCGCUCCGCUCCUCCCCGGCCUUUUUUUUUUCUCUUUAUUUUCCCCUCUUUCUUUCUUCUUUCUAUCCCCUUAUUUUUUAUUUCCCCUUCCCUCGUUUUUUUUUUUUUUUCUUCUUUUUUUCCCCUUUCCCUCCCUCUCCCCGAGGACUCGGCACCAGCCCCGACGCCUCUCCGCCCCCGAGCCGCGCUCUGGCAUUCUAGUAGCAUUUCCAAGUACAUACUCCUUUUCUGAGUUCACUCUGCCAUUAGGCAAUCCAGGAUCCUUAACCCAUUGCCUCCAACUUUACCAGCCCGCUGCCUUCUGUCAUUGACUUGCAGCUGGGGGUAUUUCAGCUUUUCAAAGUCCAGUUUGAUUCAGGCUGUCAUCACAGGAAGAAAUUUUGUUCAGCACAAAAUCAUUUUGUGACCACACAGAUUUUCUGGAACACACAGGGCAUUGACCAGAUCCUGGCCAUCUUUAACCACAAAUGGAUCCAUCUCAGGCUAAUGCAAGCAAUGCCUAGCCUUCAUACAGUUCCUUCCUUCAGUACAUCUAAAAUCGUUAUGGAGGAUUAUUAUCCUCCUCGUAAAGAUGGGGAAACUGAAGCACAGAGAAGACAGCUCAAGACAGAACUACCCCACAUCCUUUCCCUAGGUAGAUAUGUGGGUCUGAAGCCUACACUGUUACAGGGAAAUGGUGAGAGAUGUUCUGGGAGGGGUCCAGCAGGCCCUGAGCACCACAUCCUGCGCCAGGAGCAGGGUGUCUCUCUCCAAGUCACGGUUGGAGCCAACCUGUUCCUGAACCACAGCAGGAGGCUGGGGCUGCUGGAUGGAGAGCGCGCCUGCUCCUGGAUCCUGAUGUUUGAUAAGCAGGCACAGAGGGACUACGUAAGUGCAUUGAGAACAUUUAUGCUGCCGGUGAGCACACCUGUGUUGCAGAGGUCAUGGAGGGGUGCAGGAGGCAGCAUGGCCAAGGCUGGCCGAAGAACUGAGCACGCCAACACUGGCAGGAGUGAGCGAGCUUCUCUGGGACGUGUGAGUCUGCUAUAAAACUGUGCAGCCAUUCACAGUCACACAGAAAACUUUUUCAUGACCUUUCUCUGGGGAAAUGGACACCAUGGUGGUGACAAAUGGCAGUGGGGUUACCGCGACAUGGCUCUGGAGAAAGGGACAGUGCUGGAAGAGGGAGGCACAUGAGGAAGAGACAGUAACGUGCAGAGCCAGGUAAGAGGCUGAUAUCAGACAUGCAUGUAAGUAACUAACUGUUACUACUCUCCUGGUAAAAUAUUAACAUAACAUCAAUAUUGCUCUUUAAUAGUUCCUACAGCAUUGUAUCAUUACAGAUGUUAAUUGCAAAAACAAAACACUGUCUUGUAAAAAAAAUGUGAGUUUUGGCAUGAAGGAUUUGCUCUGGUGAAUUUAUAAACAGGUAGAACACAAGCUUUCCUCCCCUUUGAUUACAAAGGAGAAUCCACUUGUAGGCUGUAGGGAGCCUAAGAUGAAGUGGGAAAACUGGUGAAAGAAGGUGCUUGUUUUUUAAAGAAGAUAAAUCAACCAGCUUCCACAUAUGUGGGCAGAUUCGGGGUUGCAAAUCGCCCAGCUUCAUUAUUUUCCUGGUCGGGAAAAGAGGGAAAACUGAAGUGCUGUGAAGUUAGCCACCCGCUUCUCUAGAGUUCUGAAGAUGUAACCAUUUCUGUUUGCAGAUACAUAAGAUUCUCCUCCUCUAAAAUAUUUGGCUUCAGAAGCUAAAGGAAAAUCCCUUCUCAUAUUCUGGUUAAUCAGUACCAGGGUUCCCUGAGGAAGGCAAUCCUUUCAAUGCCCAGCAACGCAGCACUGAGCCAUACAACAGUCCCUUCCCUCAGUCCCUAGGAGCUCUGCAUGAGACAUUAAUUUUAAAUGAUACCUUCCUUGCUUAAGCUGAGUCUGAGACCACUGUGCAACAUGGACAGUAUACCUGCUUCUUCCAGGAUGCUGGACAUAUUACAAGCUAGACUUGUCAGCUAAAGUAUCUGUGGUUUCAGUGCAGUUUUUUAAAUUACUAAGACAUUUUAUACUGUUGAUUCAUACUCCUAUGAAGGUUAUCUUCUGGACUUUUUACGUUACAGGUAUAAAUUUCCCCUCCCUCUUCCUUUCCCUCUCCAUUUCUGCCCCUCGACAUGUUUAAAAAGAAAUACGAGAUAUAUAACACCUACUUACCCUAUAACAAAACUCUGAUUAAUGAGUUGGUAUUUUAACUUGCCACCUAUUUAAAGAUAAGGUUUAAGUGCCUUACUUCAUCUAAACACAUGACUUGAAAUCUUGUCAAACCAGAAGUGUGUUCUGAAAUUGUGACUGACAGGCUGAAAUUUCUUUUUAAAAAGAACUUUAAGAAAAGAUUAAUGGCCUAUUUAUUAGUCUUUUCAAGAGUAUCAGAAUAUAUACAUUAAUACAUUAAAUAAAACUAUUGUUAAAAUGUUAAUAAUUUGGUUUAAAAAAAAUAGCUUAUGACGGGCAGCAAACAAAAAUCAAACAGAAAUGGCAAUCGAAUGCUUGAAACAACUCCUGAGUCACCCAGCUGCAAAAACCCACAUUGUUGAAAAUCAAAUGUAAAGUACUAUGCUAAAAUUACAUACAAAAAUUGGAACUGAAAGGUCAUUGCAGACAGAAUUAAUAGAAUACUUUCAUAGAUUAUGAACACAAGAGCUCAGAGUUCAACUGCAUACAUUUAAUUUGUAGUAACAUAACAACACGCCACACCACAUCAUGUCAUAUAUCAAUAAAAAAUUAAUAUGCUAAGAUUAAAAACAGUAGAAUGGCUAGAGGGAACCAAAUAAAACAUUCACAGAAAUGUGUGUGGUAAAAUAAAGAGAUAAGGAUGAAAAUUUACUUCCUUUAUUUUAAUAAGAUCUACAUGUGCAUUAAUUUAUGGAUCAUUAUAUCCAUCUUCAAGAAGUAAUAAUUCACAAAUCACUCCUCUUAAUUCCCUUUCAAAUUAAUUCUAUACACGUCCCUUCUGCCAGUAUAUUUCUCCCAAUUUACACUUCUUUGAGUUUACAAUCCUGCUGUAUUUUCUUGAUAAAAUCUGUUAGUACAACAAGAAAUGCACAUUACUCUGCAACUUUCAGCAAUUAACCUUCUGUUUAUGAUACACUGCAGCUGAUCAUACUAGCUGGGAAAUGUACAACAGUUUACUCUUCAGUGUCUUGAUGGAGCCACAUCAUUAAUUUCCUUCCUUCUUACAUGGGCAUAAACAAGCAAUUAAAAUUUAAAAUGAAAAGUAUCACUGAAUGCUUGCCCUUGUCUUUUACUCCUCCUGACACUUCUGCUUUUAUCAACACUGGCUUUUUCAAGAGCCUUUUCCCUAGAAUAAGGUAAUAGUCUGUCUUUUAUGCCAGUGGUUGUCCUUACCCUGAACUACAAUGAAUUUACUUGUUGGAGCAGAGAUUCUGAGCAAUCAUUCCCUCCUGAACAUCCUUGAAUAAACUCCUGCUUUCCAAACCCCUUUUAUUGCAUGCUUUACAUACUCAUUUUCCUGAGCUACAGCUUAAUCUCUAGAUUGCAUGCAUACUAAUAUCUGUCUGUAGUUCUCUUGCUGAAUUGUUCGUUCUUCAUUAUUUAAGUGCAGGGAAUUAUAAGUAGGUGUUCCUACUUCACAUGCUCUUCUCUGGAGGGGUGAACUAGCAUCUGCUGUUCCCUUUCAGUCUCUUGAGGAAGAAAAACACCCUGCACUCCUUCUGUGGCUUCACUCCACGCUAAGAAAGAUUUUUAUUUUUAUUGCACUUGCUGGUUUCCAGCAGAAUUUGCUUUCAGACAACAAUUUUAGUUCUGUAUAUUGCUGAAGUCCUAAUAUUCCUGUCCUCAAGGAGCAGCCUGAGAUCAAAAUUGAAACUGUGCAUUUUUCACAAAGUUUUUGCCCUGGCUUGGAUGAUUCCUCAAAGAUGCCCCUCAUCAAAAUGCAGAACUCUAUUUCAAAAAAGGCUUUGGAUUGUUAUGAGAAACAAAAAGAGACAGUCAAGAACUUGUCAAAAUCAAUAAAUGUGUUUUUAAAUCAUGGGCAUUUCCAUGAAGUUUUCUUUAUAAUUUGGCAGUAGUGUUUGUUUACAGUUUUAUAGUCAAUUUAUUAAGCACAGUCACUUUUUAAAAUCUGUUUAUGUUAGGAACAAGUUGUGUUAUUAUGAAAUUCUUGGUCUAAUGAAUGAAAACCUAACUUUUUAGCUUGGAUUCAACAUGAAAUUAAUAGUUAUUUUAAACUGAACUGUAAAGUGGCAGAUGUACACUCACUUUGACAUGUUAGAAAUGUAGGGUGUCUUUUAAAGUGUAGUUUUGACAUAAGCACAUAGCUAACUCCUGCUCCUAACCUGUAAAUGCAGUGAAGAGCAGCUCUUUUCUACUGUCCCCAUUCAAAACUCCUACUGAGAUGAUUCUAAAAUCUUAAAAUAAUUUCCUCAUAUUCACUAUGCCUGUUUCUCAAGAGGUUAUGUUACUCAACACAUUAUUCUUUCUGCACGGAGAAUAAGUCUGUCACAUACCAAUCUAAGAAGUAAAGAAUGGAGCUAUAGAUGUUUUAGCAUGGAGGCACUUCUGCCAAACUUUCCCUAGAUGUCACUACGCUUUCUGGCUAUUUUAUUAGUCUUUAUUAUUAUUAAAUGGAAAACUAUCAUAUAAGAACCUACUUUCUCCAAAAUGACAAAACUAUAAUUAUAUACAUAUUAUAUUCUGUGUAAUAGAAUAUACAUAUAGCAUAUAUAUAUGCAUAUAUAUAUAUAUGCAUAUACAUAGCAUAGUAUAUUAGUCACAGUUACAUCUGAAAAUAGUUUAUAUGACAGGCUUGUUUUCAUGUUCUUUCCACCUUCCUAAUCCUCUUCUUACCA